rnacentral:lncRNA from 1 species
GAAACUAGUGGUUUAGGCUCAUAUUCCGUGUUGAUAUCCUCAUCACUGUGUUCAGUCGUUCAACUAAGAGGUUUUUCUUUUGGACACCGUUCUUGUUAGGAUUCAUUAGCUCUUAUUUCUCUUUUUUUUUCAUGCGCUCCUUUGAGCACGCUUUUUGCCAACCUCAAUAUUUCUAGAUAAGUGCUUUAUUUUACUUCUCAAUUUUUUUCAUUC